rnacentral:rRNA from 1 species
CAGUAGCCGCGGUAAUGCGAAGGGUGCAAGCGUUAAUCGGAAUUACUGGGCGUAAAGCGUGCGUAGGCGGUUUGUUAAGACAGAUGUGAAAUCCCCGGGCUCAACCUGGGAAUGGCAAUGGAUACUGGCAAGCUAGAGUGUGUCAGAGGAUGGUGGAAUUCCCGGUGUAGCGGUGAAAUGCGUAGAGAUCGGGAGGAACAUCAGUGGCGAAGGCGGCCAUCUGGGACAACACUGACGCUGAGGCACGAAAGCGUGGGGAGCAAACAGGAUUAGAUACCCCUGUAGUCCCUGUCUCUUAUAC